rnacentral:rRNA from 1 species
GACGAACGCUGGCGGCGUGCUUAACACAUGCAAGUCGAGCGGUAAGGCCCUUUCGGGGGUACACGAGCGGCGAACGGGUGAGUAACACGUGGGUGACCUGCCCUCAGCUCUGGGAUAAGCCUGGGAAACCGGGUCUAAUACCGGAUAUGACUCCAUGACGCAUGUUGUGGGGUGGAAAGCCUUGUGCGGCUGAGGAUGGGCCCGCGGCCUAUCAGCUUGUUGGUGGGGUGAUGGCCUACCAAGGCGACGACGGGUAGCCGGCCUGAGAGGGCGACCGGCCACACUGGGACUGAGACACGGCCCAGACUCCUACGGGAGGCAGCAGUGGGGAAUCUUGCGCAAUGGGGGAAACCCUGACGCAGCGACGCCGCGUGUGGGAUGAAGGUCUUCGGAUUGUAAACCACUGUCGCGAGGGACGAAGCUCUGGCGUACCUCGAAAGGAAGCACCGGCUAACUCUGUGCCAGCA